GCUUAGCUUCAGUCUCAACGUUUCACAUGGGACCCAGUCUUGGCAUCCACUAAACCCGGUUUUUAAAAUGGGAGGACUGCAUAUCAAAGAGUUGUAAAAACAUUUGUUUGCCGUCAACAUACACUACAGUCCCCUCUUUAAACUUUUGGUGUGAGUGCUCGUGUUUCCAGUGCCACCAGUUCACUAACGUUAAAGCAGACGAAUAAAGAGACUCAUUAGGAUGAUGAUUUCGCUCCAAACACGACACUGAACCAAGGGACAGGUUUGCCAGAAGAGCGCACCGCGCAGACAUUACAAUGAAAUAUAAUUUCAUGGAUUCAUCUCCUUGUUCUUUAAUUAAUAUGAGAAUGCUGAGCGAGGGUUUGCAGGGGUGAGCCAGACCAGUCUCCAGGACUAGGGCAGGAUCUAGGCAUAGGCCCAGGCGCCAAGGGCAGCAUCCAUCUGGGAGGUGCCAAACCGAUACAGAAU